rnacentral:rRNA from 1 species
AGAAUCAACGCUGGCGGCGUGCCUAACACAUGCAAGUCGAACGCGAAAGUCCCGCAAGGGAUGAGUAGAGUGGCAAACGGGUGAGUAACACGUGGGUGACCUGCCUUCGAGCGGGGGAUAACGUCCCGAAAGGGACGCUAAUACCGCAUGACAUCCCGCCUUUGAAGAGGUGGAGAUCAAAGCUGGGGAUCGCAAGACCUAGCACUUGAAGAGGGGCCCGCGUCUGAUUAGCUAGUUGGUGGGGUAACGCUCACCAAGGCAACGAUC